CGGAAACACGUGUGGAGAGGCUAGUAUUUAUAUAUAUAAAGCAAAAGGCAGAGAAUGAUGAAACAUUCAAAAUACUAGAAAAUGUCAUUGGUUAAUGCAAACAUUAAGAAUUCAAAUUAUUAAUUAAAUGAGGAUAAUAUGGUAAAUUCACACUUUUUCAUAUUUAAAAAAAUUAAAAGAAAAAGAAAAAGCAGAUAAUGGAUCCUAUUUUUAUGGAACACAACUACCCAUUAUCUUUUUUAAUUCUAAAAUAAAUUUAUUUAUUUUUAAAAAAAGCCCCUUGCAAGC
rnacentral:lncRNA from 1 species